AUGUGCAUUCAGGUAACACACCCACUGAGUGAUCAAGCCAUAAUUUCUUCCCGUCUUAUACUUGUACCUGAAAUUGCAGAGUCCAUAGGAACUUGUAAUGGUAUGAAGAAUCUUGCAGAUAAGCUAGCUGCCCUUGAAAAAAUAAAUUGGGAAAUGAUGACAUCCAACAAGAAAGUGGAGAAACUUCAAGAAGAUCUAGACUCUGUGUAA